UGAAAGCCUGGGGUGCCCCGCGAGGGGAGCCCUAGCACAGGUGCUGCAUGGCCGUCGUCAGCUCGUGCCGUGAGGUGUUGGGUUAAGUCCCGCAACGAGCGCAACCCCCGCCGUUAGUUGCCAGCGGUUCGGCCGGGCACUCUAACGGGACUGCCCGCGAAAGCGGGAGGAAGGAGGGGACGACGUCUGGUCAGCAUAGCCCUUGCGGCCUGGGCGACACACGUGCUACAAUGCCCACUACAAAGCGAUGCCACCCGGCAACGGGGAGCUAAUCGCAAAAAGGUGGGCCCAGUUCGGAUUGGGGUCUGCAACCCGACCCCAUGAAGCCGGAAUCGCUAGUAAUCGCGGAUCAGCCAUGCCGCGGUGAAUACGUUCCCGGGCCUU
rnacentral:rRNA from 1 species